UACGGAGGGUGCAAGCGUUAUCCGGAUUUACUGGGUUUAAAGGGUGCGUAGGUGGGUUUGUAAGUCGGUGGUGAAAUCCCCGAGCUUAACUCGGGAACUGCCAUUGAUACUAUAGAUCUUGAAUAUCCUGGAGGUGAGCGGAAUAUGUCAUGUAGCGGUGAAAUGCUUAGAUAUGACAUAGAACACCCAUUGCGAAGGCAGCUCACUACGGGAUUAUUGACACUGAGGCACGAAAGCGUGGGGAUCAAACAGG
rnacentral:rRNA from 1 species